AGGGCAUCACCAGAAGUGGAGCCUGCGGCUUAAUUUGACUCAACACGGGGAAACUUACCAGGUCCAGACAUAGUAAGGAUUGACAUACUGAGAGCUCUUUCUUGAUUCUAUGGGUGGUGGUGCAUGGCCAUUCUUAGUUGGUGGAGCGAUUUGUCUGGUUAAUUCUGUUAACGAAUGAGAGCUCAGCCUGCUAACUAGCUAUGCAGAGAUUUCCUCCGCAGCCAGCUUCUUAGAGGGACUAUGCCCGCUUAGGCCAAGGAAGUUUGAGGCA
rnacentral:rRNA from 1 species